UACCUGUCACGUCAAUCCAUUGUUCCCU
rnacentral:sRNA from 1 species